UUUCCGUAGGUGAACCUGCGGAAGGAUCAUUAACAAAUCCAGUACUUGUGGGGGGACUACCAAGUCUUGCUGCAAAUAUUAAUCCGCCGGCUCUAGCAGCUGGCUGUGAUAUAAAUGCGUGUAAUGUUGACAGUGUGUGUAUGAAAGUUAAUUUAUUGACAACUUUUAACAAUGGAUCUCUAGGCUCUU
rnacentral:misc_RNA from 1 species